GGCCCCGUCGUCUAAAGGCUAGGAUAGCGGCCUUUCAAGUCGCAGGUGCUGGGUUCGAGCCCCGCCGGGGUCACCA
rnacentral:tRNA from 1 species